rnacentral:rRNA from 1 species
GGAGUGCGUAAUAGCUCACUGGUCGAGGGAUUCUGCGCCGAAAAUGAACGGGGCUAAGUGUUGUACCGAAGCUGCGGAUUUUAUGGUAGGGGAGCGUUCUAUGUGGGGCGAAGCGUUAGCGUGAGCGGGCGUGGACUGCAUAGAAGUGAGAAUGUCGGCUUGAGUAGCGAAAACAUGGGUGAGAAUCCCAUGCACCGAAACCCUAAGGGUUCCUCCGGCAGGCUCGUCCGCGGAGGGUUAGUCUGGACCUAAGGUCAGGCCGAAAGGCGUAGUCGAUGGACAACAGGUCAACAUUCCUGUACCGGUUAUGCAUUGGGAAGAGGGACGGAGAAGGCUAGCCAAGCCAGACGUUGGUUACUGGUUCAAGCGUUCGAGGCGUUGAGGAGCGGCGAAAACGUUCCGAGCUGAGACGUGAGUACGAGCUGCUACGGCAGCGAAGUUGGUGAUGCCAUGCUUCCAAGAAAAGCUCUAUACCCGUUAAUGCAUAACUGCCAGUACCCGAAACCGACACAGGUGGGGUGGUAGAGAAUACCGAGGUGCGCGAGGUAACUCUCUCUAAGGAACUCGGCAAAUUAGCCCCGUAACUUCGGGAGAAGGGGUGCCACCGCAAGGUGGUCGCAGUGAAAAGGCCCUGGCGACUGUUUACCAAAAACACAGGUCUCCGCUAAGUCGCAAGACGAUGUAUGGGGGCUGACGCCUGCCCAGUGCCGGAAGGUUAAGGAAGCCGGUCAGCGUAAGCGAAGCUGGCGACUGAAGCCCCGGUGAACGGCGGCCGUAACUAUAACGGUCCUAAGGUAGCGAAAUUCCUUGUCGGGUAAGUUCCGACCCGCACGAAAGGCGUAACGAUCAGGGCGCUGUCUCGGAGAGAGGCUCGGCGAAAUAGAAUUGUCUGUGAAGAUGCGGACUACGUACACCUGGACAGAAAGACCCUAUGAAGCUUUACUGUAGCUUGGUAUUGUGUUCGGGCUCUGAAUGCGCAGGAUAGGUGGGAGAUGUUGAUCUAAUGCUCGUGGGUAUUAGGGAGUCAAUGGUGAGAUACCACUCUUUCAGAGCUAGAAUUCUAACGUUCACCCGUUAUCCGGGGAGCGGACAGUAUCAGGUGGGCAGUUUGACUGGGGCGGUCGCCUCCUAAAAGGUAACGGAGGCGCGCAAAGGUUUCCUCAGGCUGGUUGGAAAUCAGCUGAUGAGUGCAAAAGCAGAAGGAAGCUUGACUGUGAGACCUACAAGUCGAACAGGGACGAAAGUCGGCUUUAGUGAUCCGACGGUUCUGAGUGGAAGGGCCGUCGCUCAACGGAUAAAAGUUACUCUAGGGAUAACAGGCUGAUCUCCCCCAAGAGUUCACAUCGACGGGGAGGUUUGGCACCUCGAUGUCGGCUCAUCGCAACCUGGGGCUGAAGUCGGUCCCAAGGGUUGGGCUGUUCGCCCAUUAAAGCGGUACGCGAGCUGGGUUCAGAACGUCGUGAGACAGUUCGGUCCAUAUCCGGUGUACGCGUAGGAACAUUGAGAGGAUUUCUCCCUAGUACGAGAGGACCGGGAGGAACGCACCUCUGGUGUACCAGUUAUCGUGCCAACGGUAAACGCUGGGUAGCCAUGUGCGGAGUGGAUAACCGCUGAAAGCAUCUAAGUGGGAAGCCCACCUCAAGAUGAGUGUUCCCAUGGGGUAACCCAGUAAGGUCACGGGGAGAACACCCGUUGAUAGGCUCUACGUGGAAGUCCAGUAAUGGAUGCAGCGGAGGAGUACUAAUAGACCGAGGGCUUGACCA